AUGCUAGGUGGGCAAUACAUAAAUCUUCUCGAUGAUACGUUCAAGAAGGAUAUCUUGAGGAAACCAUUGGGAGGUUUUGGAUUAGAAAUGGAUCGAAGUGCCUACUCACUUGCUUCAGAAUCAAGCAAACUUCUUGCUUCAAAAAUGAAUCGAAGUGUUGUCUCACUUGCUUCAUUCAAUGGAUUUGCAAAAAAGUUUUCUUGCUCAGGUGUAUUUAUAAAGGGCGAAGCAUGCUCUGCAACAAUUCUGACUUCAGCAAGUUUGUUCAGAGUUCCUGGCAGUUCACACAUGAUCGAUGAUAACUUGAGGGUUGUUACUGCUAACUGCUAUCAAUUUUUUUUCUUUUCAUUUCAGAUACUGGUUAACAUAACGUUAUCAUUGCAGAUUGAAGUUUGCCUUCCAAACCAAUAUCGAGUUGUAGGGAUAUUGAACUGUUAUAAUUUACAGUACAAUGUUGCUCUUGUUGACAUCAUGGGAUUCUGGCGUCCUCGUACAAUAAAAAUCCAUGGGCAUCCAGUUACCUCAUCUAUGGACGUAAUAGCUGUGGGUAGUCUUUUUGCGUGUCGCAAACUAAUAGCUGUUGAGGGGAAGGUGUUGAUUGGCAAACAAAGCAAACUUGAUUGCAAAGAACUUUGUGUCUCCACCUGUAAAAUCACCAAGGCUGGGAUUGGGGGGCCUCUUAUUGACAAUGAUGGGAAUUUUGUUGGAAUGAACUUUUAUGAUGAGGAAGAAACUCCGUUCCUGCCGAGGGAUGUUAUUCACCACCUCUUGUUGAACUUCAAUAAAAAAGGGUAUGUCUUAAAAAAAAAAGAAGCUUUGUAG
rnacentral:rRNA from 1 species